CCGCAGGAACAGAUCUAUAAUAGAGUACUGUUCUAUUGACAUUCACAGUUGUCCGAGUUCUCUCGACUUAUAAUGCCAUACUCGGAUGAUCUGGAUUUAAUGCCCUGAGAGCAGUAGUCUCAGUAUAUCAUCUAUUGAUCCGAUUUCCAACAAGAAGUGGAGUUGAAGAGAUGCAUAGAGAUCAACAACUCGUCUGAUAUUGCUUCUUCA
rnacentral:lncRNA from 1 species